AUUGAACGCUGGCGGUAUGCUUUACACAUGCAAGUCGAACGGUAACAGGUCUUCGGAUGCUGACGAGUGGCGAACGGGUGAGUAAUGUAUCGGAACGUGCCUAGUAAUGGGGGAUAACCACUCGAAAGAGUGACUAAUACCGCAUAAUAUCUCAGGAUGAAAGCGGGGGACCGUAAGGCCUCGCGUUAUUAGAGCGGCCGAUAUCAGAUUAGGUAGUUGGUGGGAUAAAAGCCUACCAAGCCAACGAUCUGUAGCUGGUCUGAGAGGACGACCAGCCACACUGGGACUGAGACACGGCCCAGACUCCUACGGGAGGCAGCAGUGGGGAAUUUUGGACAAUGGGCGAAAGCCUGAUCCAGCAAUACCGCGUGCAGGACGAAGGCCUUCGGGUUGUAAACUGCUUUGUACGGAACGAAACGGUUCAGAUUAAUAACUCUGAACUAAUAGACGGUACCGUAAGAAUAAGCACCGGCUAACUACGUG
rnacentral:rRNA from 1 species